AGCGAACGCUGGCGGCAGGCUUAACACAUGCAAGUCGAGCGGGCAUCCUUGUGGUGUCAGCGGCAGACGGGUGAGUAACGCGUGGGAACGUGCCCUUCGGUUCGGAAUAACUCAGGGAGACUUGAGCUAAUACCGGAUACGUGCGAGAGCAGAAAGGUUUAUCUGCCGAAGGAUCGGCCCGCGUCUGAUUAGCUAGUUGGUGAGGUUACGGCUCACCAAGGCGACGAUCAGUAGCUGGUCUGAGAGGAUGAUCAGCCACAAUGGGAAUGAGAACCGGCCCAGAAUCCUACGGGAGGCAGCAGUGGGGAAUAUUGGACAAUGGGGGCAACCCUGAUCCAGCCAUGCCGCGUGAGUGAUGACGGCCUUAGGGUUGUAAAGCUCUUUUCUCCGGGACGAUAAUGACGGUACCGGAGGAAUAAGCCCCGGCUAACUUCGUG
rnacentral:rRNA from 1 species